rnacentral:rRNA from 1 species
CUAAACCAUGCACCGAAGCUGCGGCAGCGACACUUUAGUGUUGUUGGGUAGGGGAGCGUUCUGUAAGCCGUUGAAGGUGUCCUGUGAGGGGUGCUGGAGGUAUCAGAAGUGCGAAUGCUGACAUAAGUAACGAUAAAGCGGGUGAAAAGCCCGCUCGCCGGAAGACCAAGGGUUCCUGUCCAACGUUAAUCGGGGCAGGGUGAGUCGACCCCUAAGGCGAGGCCGAAAGGCGUAGUCGAUGGGAAACGGGUUAAUAUUCCCGUACUUGGUGUUACUGCGAAGGGGGGACGGAGAAGGCUAUGUUGGCCGGGCGACGGUUGUCCCGGUUUAAGCGUGUAGGUGUGUGUUCCAGGUAAAUCCGGUUCACUUUAACACUGAGGCGUGAUGACGAGGCACCACGGUGCUGAAGCAACAAAUGCCCUGCUUCCAGGAAAAGCCUCUAAGCAUCAGGUAACAUCAAAUCGUACCCCAAACCGACACAGGUGGUCAGGUAGAGAAUACCAAGGCGCUUGAGAGAACUCGGGUGAAGGAACUAGGCAAAAUGGUGCCGUAACUUCGGGAGAAGGCACGCUGACACGUAGGUGAAGUGAUUUACUCAUGGAGCUGAAGUCAGUCGAAGAUACCAGCUGGCUGCAACUGUUUAUUAAAAACACAGCACUGUGCAAACACGAAAGUGGACGUAUACGGUGUGACGCCUGCCCGGUGCCGGAAGGUUAAUUGAUGGGGUCAGCGCAAGCGAAGCUCCUGAUCGAAGCCCCGGUAAACGGCGGCCGUAACUAUAACGGUCCUAAGGUAGCGAAAUUCCUUGUCGGGUAAGUUCCGACCUGCACGAAUGGCGUAAUGAUGGCCAGGCUGUCUCCACCCGAGACUCAGUGAAAUUGAACUCGCUGUGAAGAUGCAGUGUACCCGCGGCAAGACGGAAAGACCCCGUGAACCUUUACUAUAGCUUGACACUGAACAUUGAGCCUUGAUGUGUAGGAUAGGUGGGAGGCUUUGAAGCGUGGACGCCAGUCUGCGUGGAGCCGACCUUGAAAUACCACCCUUUAAUGUUUGAUGUUCUAACGUGGACCCGUAAUCCGGGUUGCGGACAGUGUCUGGUGGGUAGUUUGACUGGGGCGGUCUCCUCCUAAAGAGUAACGGAGGAGCACGAAGGUUGGCUAAUCCUGGUCGGACAUCAGGAGGUUAGUGCAAUGGCAUAAGCCAGCUUGACUGCGAGCGUGACGGCGCGAGCAGGUGCGAAAGCAGGUCAUAGUGAUCCGGUGGUUCUGAAUGGAAGGGCCAUCGCUCAACGGAUAAAAGGUACUCCGGGGAUAACAGGCUGAUACCGCCCAAGAGUUCAUAUCGACGGCGGUGUUUGGCACCUCGAUGUCGGCUCAUCACAUCCUGGGGCUGAAGUAGGUCCCAAGGGUAUGGCUGUUCGCCAUUUAAAGUGGUACGCGAGCUGGGUUUAGAACGUCGUGAGACAGUUCGGUCCCUAUCUGCCGUGGGCGCUGGAAGAUUGAGGGGGGCUGCUCCUAGUACGAGAGGACCGGAGUGGACGCAUCACUGGUGUUCGGGUUGUCAUGCCAAUGGCACUGCCCGGUAGCUAAAUGCGGAAAAGAUAAGUGCUGAAAGCAUCUAAGCACGAAACUUGCCCCGAGAUGAGUCUUCCCUGAGACUUUGAGUCUCCUGAAGGAACGUUAAAGACGAUGACGUUGAUAGGCCGGGUGUGUAAGCGCAGCGAUGCGUUGAGCUAACCGGUACUAAUGAACCGUGAGGCUUAACCUUACAACGCCGAAGCUGUU